CCGCACGGUAAACGAUGGAUGCCCGCUUUUCGGUCAUAGGNCCGUGAGGNCAAGUGAAAACAUUAAGCAUCCCACCUGGGGAGUACGCCGGCAACGGUGAAACUCAAAGGAAUUGACGGGGGNCCGCACAAGCGGAGGAACAUGUGGUUUAAUUCGAUGAUACGCGAGGAACCUUACCCGGGCUUGAAUUGCAGAUGAAGGAUCCAGAGAUGGUGACGNCCUUCGGGGCAUCUGUGAAGGUGCUGCAUGGUUGUCGUCAGCUCGUGCCGUGAGGUGUCGGCUCAAGUGCCAUAACGAGCGCAACCCCUCUCUUCAGUUGCCAUCAGGUAAAGCUGGGCACUCUGGAGACACUGCCACCGCAAGGUGUGAGGAAGGUGGGGAUGACGUCAAAUCAGCACGGCCCUUACGUCCGGGGCUACACACGUGUUACAAUGGGGGGUACAGCAAGCCGGCUGCCCGCAAGGUCAGUCCAAUCAAGAAAGCCCUCCUCAGUUCGGACUGGGGUCUGCAACCCGACCCCACGAAGCUGGAUUCGCUAGUAAUCGCGCAUCAGCCAUGGCGCGGUGAAUACGUUCCCGGGCCUUGUACACACCGCCCGUCAAGCCAUGAAAGCCGGGGGUGCCUGAAGUCCGUGACCGCAAGGAUCGGCCUAGGGCAAAACUGGUAAUUGGGGCUAAGUCGUAACAAGGUAG
rnacentral:rRNA from 1 species